rnacentral:rRNA from 1 species
CUACGGGUUGCACCAGUGGGGAAUUUUGGACAAUGGGGGCAACCCUGAUCCAGCCAUUCCGCGUGAGUGAAGAAGGCCUUCGGGUUGUAAAGCUCUUUCGGCAGGAACGAAACGGUCGUCUCUAACAUAGAUGGCUACUGACGGUACCUGAAGAAGAAGCACCGGCUAACUACGUGCCAGCAGCCGCGGUAAUACGUAGGGUGCGAGCGUUAAUCGGAAUUACUGGGCGUAAAGCGUGCGCAGGCGGUUUCGUAAGACAGAUGUGAAAUCCCCGGGCUUAACCUGGGAACUGCGUUUGUGACUGCGAGACUCGAGUGUGGCAGAGGGGGGUGGAAUUCCACGUGUAGCAGUGAAAUGCGUAGAGAUGUGGAGGAACACCGAUGGCGAAGGCAGCCCCCUGGGUUAACACUGACGCUCAUGCACGAAAGCGUGGGUAGCAAACAGGAUUAGAUACCCUCGUAGUC